rnacentral:rRNA from 1 species
GAUGAACGCUGGCGGCGUGCCUAAUACAUGCAAGUCGAGCGAACAGACGAGGAUCUUGCUCCUCUGACGUUAGCGGCGGACGGGUGAGUAACACGUGGAUAACCUACCUAUAAGACUGGGAUAACUUCGGGAAACCGGAGCUAAUACCGGAUAAUAUAUUGAACCGCAUGGUUCAAUAGUGAAAGACGGUUUUGCUGUCACUUAUAGAUGGAUCCGCGCCGCAUUAGCUAGUUGGUAAGGUAACGGCUUAUCAAGGCAACGAGGCGUAGACGACCUGAGAGGGUGAUCGGCCACACUGGAACUGAGACACGGACCAGGCUCCUACGGGAGGCAGCAGUAGGGAAUCUUACGCAACGGGCGAAAGCCUGACGGAGCAACGCCGAGUGAGUGAUGAAGGUCUUCGGAUCGUAAAACUCUGUUAUUAGGGAAGAACAAAUGUGUAAGUAACUAUGCACGUCUUGACGGUACCUAAUCAGAAAGCCACGGCUAACUACGUG